UACGAAGGGGGGCUAGCGUUGCUCGGAAUCACUGGGCGUAAAGCGCACGUAGGCGGAUUGCUAAGUCAGGGGUGAAAUCCUGGAGCUCAACUCCAGAACUGCCUUUGAUACUGGCGACCUUGAGUCCGGGAGAGGUGAGUGGAACUGCGAGUGUAGAGGUGAAAUUCGUAGAUAUUCGCAAGAACACCAGUGGCGAAGGCGGGUCUCUGGGCCAGUACUGACGCUGAGGAGCGAAAGCGUGGGGAGCGAACAGG
rnacentral:rRNA from 1 species